AGCGAACGUUAGCGGCGGGCCUAACACAUGCAAGUCGAGCGAGAAAGGGGCUUCGGCCCUGAGUAAAGCGGCGGACGGGUGAGUAACACGUAGGUAAUCUUCCCUUGAGCGGGGGACAACGGUCCGAAAGGACCGCUAAUACCGCAUACGUUUCCGAGGACCCCGGUCCUUGGAAGGAAAGCUAGGCCGCAAGGUCCGGCACUCGAGGAGGAGCCUGCGUCGCAUCAGCUAGUUGGUGGGGUAAUGGCCUACCAAGGCGAAGACGCGUAGCUGGUCUGAGAGGAUGAUCAGCCACACUGGGACUGAGACACGGCCCAGACUCCUACGGGAGGCAGCAGUGGGGAAUAUUGGACAAUGGGCGCAAGCCUGAUCCAGCCACGCCGCGUGAGUGAUGAAGGCCUUCGGGUCGUAAAGCUCUGUGGGGAGGGACGAACCGCUGCACGUUCAUAGCGUGCAGCAUGACGGUACCUCCUUAGCAAGCACCGGCUAACUUCGUGCCAGCAGCCGCAGUAAUAC
rnacentral:rRNA from 1 species